rnacentral:rRNA from 3 species
AAAUGAAUCAAAACUUUCAACAACGGAUCUCUUGGUUCUGGCAUCGAUGAAGAACGCAGCGAAAUGCGAUAAGUAAUGUGAAUUGCAGAAUUCAGUGAAUCAUCGAAUCUUUGAACGCACAUUGCGCCCUCUGGUAUUCCGGAGGGCAUGCCUGUUCGAGCGUCAUU